UCCGCGGAGCAAAGGCCAAGGUCGGAACCGUCUCGCCGCAAUUGCCAGUCACUCCGCCACGCGCAACACUACCACUUAGCUUCAUGGACGGUUUUCUCCACUGUGUCUUUGUGGAAGACCGUAGACAGAUGAAUAAGAAGGCUCAACAAGGUAAAGGAACUUGGCCAAAUUCAAGCAACUACCUGAGGCAUAGCUACAGCAGUCAUCACUAGAUUAUCAAGAAGCAGAGUUUAAGCAUCCACUCAGUGCAAGAAAAUAAAAGCCCCUUUUCUGGGUGAUCUCUGAAGAGCUGGGCAAGAGGGGAAAGGGGCCCAGAUCAGGCAGAGUCCUAAUGGGUAACUAACUUCAGUUCAUGUCCGUCAAAACACAACCUGAGAAGGACAAACGUGAAGGGCAAAUAUUAGAUAACAGUAUGAUAUAUGAGUCUGAACUUGAGCUACAGCAACUCAGAGAAAGGAAAGUCUUACCCUGUCAUGGCUGACCAGCAGGAAAAGAAAGACUCCCUUCUGGUAUGUACUCAGGAGAGAGAAGGCCUGAGAUACAGACAUCUCCUGGACUCCUCAAAUUCUCAACCUUCUGACUCUUAUAGGCAACGCAAAGUUGUUUCAUUUCUGCACAUAAACAACAGAGAAUGUUAACUGUUAUGGACACUCCUUCCAGUGUUGCCUGUCAUGGGACUUGCUCACCUACACUGUGUGUUUGCUGUUCUCAUGCUUUAUGAAUAUAUAUCCUAUUAAUUUUCAAAUAAUAGGGGGAAUUUAAUUUUCCCCCUGAAUUUUCAGGGGGAAAUAUUAAAAGUGCUGGAAAAGAUGAAAUCACUGAUGUGGUGAAAAAUGAUGAGUGUUGGGUAGGGGAUGAAACAUGUGAAAUCAGAAGCAAUUCUAAAAAACAAAGAGUUCACAUACAGCACAAGAACACUCAGAAAUGAGUAAGACACAAAAGUGAUUAUUGGAAUUUAAAAAUGUUUGAGCAUCAGUAUCAGAUAUCUGUUAACUCAGUGUUAAUUCAGGGAAAGUCUCGGUGUUUGCAGAGUUCAUUUGGACCUUGCAAUGAAUGGACUUAAUUGUGGCCUUUUAAAACCUAACCCAUUCUUUCAACUGUUCUCCUAUAAGAACAGUUGACUUUGUCAUAUGUCUUUAACCUGGCAAUUCAAAUACGAUUUUUUAUUCUUAGAGAAGAU